GAGUUUGAUCCUGGCUCAGAUUGAACGCUGGCGGCAGGCUUAACACAUGCAAGUCGAGCGGUAGCACAGGGGAGCUUGCUCCCUGGGUGACGAGCGGCGGACGGGUGAGUAAUGUCUGGGAAACUGCCUGAUGGAGGGGGAUAACUACUGGAAACGGUAGCUAAUACCGCAUAACGUCGCAAGACCAAAGAGGGGGACCUUCGGGCCUCUUGCCAUCAGAUGUGCCCAGAUGGGAUUAGCUAGUAGGUGGGGUAAUGGCUCACCUAGGCGACGAUCCCUAGCUGGUCUGAGAGGAUGACCAGCCACACUGGAACUGAGACACGGUCCAGACUCCUACGGGAGGCAGCAGCGGGGAAUAUUGCACAAUGGGCGCAAGCCUGAUGCAGCCAUGCCGCGUGUGUGAAGAAGGCCUUCGGGUUGUAAAGCACUUUCAGCGAGGAGGAAGGUGAUGAGCUUAAUACGCUCAUCAAUUGACGUUACUCGCAGAAGAAGCACCGGCUAACUCCGUGCCAGCAGCCGCGGUAAUACGGAGGGUGCAAGCGUUACUCGGAAUUACUGGGCGUAAAGCGCACGCAGGCGGUUUGUUAAGUCAGAUGUGAAAUCCCCGGGCUCAACCUGGGAACUGCAUUUGAAACUGGCAAGCUAGAGUCUCGUAGAGGGGGGUAGAAUUCCAGGUGUAGCGGUGAAAUGCGUAGAGAUCUGGAGGAAUACCGGUGGUGAAGGCGGCCCCCUGGACGAAGACUGACGCUCAGGUGCGAAAGCGUG
rnacentral:rRNA from 1 species